ensembl:lncRNA
CCAGUGACACUCACACAUUCCCUUUGAAAAUCAGGACUGUAUCUCUGACUGAACCCCUAGCCUGGGAAUCUCCACAGGCGGGAGUGGCCCUAGAAAAGGCAAAAAGACAAAAAAAAAAAAGCACAUGCACCCAUAUGUUUGUUGCAGCAGUAUUCACAAUAGCCAAGACAUGGAAACAACCUAAAUGUCCGUCAGCAGAUGACUGGAUUAAGAAGUUGUGGUGUAUAUAUAUGCAGUCAGAAAAAGAACAAAAUAAUGCCAUUUUCAUCAACAUGGAUGGAACUAGAGACUCUCAUACUAAGCGAAUUAAGUCAGGAAGAGAGAGACAAAUACCAUAUGAUAUAUCACUUAUAUCUGGAAUCUAAUAUAUGGCACAAAUGAACCUUUCCACAGAAAAGAAAAUCAUGGACAUUGAGAAUAGACUUGUGGUUGCCGAAGGGGAGGGGGAGGGAGUGGAAUUGCCUGGAAAUUUGGGGUUAAUAGAUGCAAACUAUUGCCUUUGUAAAGGAUAAGCAAUGAGAUCCUACUGUAUUGUUCUGGGAACUAUAUCUAGUCACUUAUAUUGGAGCAUGAUAAUGUGAGAAAAAGAAUGUGUAUAUGUAUGUGUGACUGGGUCAACUUGCUGUACAGUAGAAAAUUGACAGAACACUGUAAACCAGCUAUAAUGGAAAAAAUAAAAAUCAUUAAAAAAAUGCUGCAUUAAAGUAUUUAUUAGUAAGUUUUUGCCUUUCCCUAGCCCUGUGUCAGACAGUUCUCUCAUUCUUCCACUUGAUUUUGCACGGUAAAUUAUAGCCAGUAUUUUUUGAAUACUUACUAUGUAUCAGACUCUGCUUUACUUGGAUUAACUUACUGAAAACUCACAGCAGAGCUGAGAAGUAGAUGGUGGUCUUAACAGAUGAGGAAACAGGCUUUGAGAGGCCAAGUAAUUUCCCCAAGGUUGCAGAGCUGUGAAGAGGAGCCAGGAUAGACAGUAUGUGCAGAAUGUAUCAUGUGGGUAGAAAUGGAUUUCUAAAAUGGGAGAGAUUUGGAUCUGUCUACCUGGAGAUGGAGUCAGAUCCCACAGGUUAAGGGUUCAGUCCUACGAAACUGCUCUUCACUUGAGAUGCCAAUCACAAGUCCACGUUGUUACCUGUGCUUCUGACUAAAAGGCUAUUAAUGAGACGUUUCCAUGACGCCCUUCUUGGCUUGGAUUAAUUUUCUUGAGCAACUCGGAAAAACAUUUUACUUACUAGAUUAUAGGUUCAUUAUAGAAGGGUAUAACGUGGGAACAGCCAGAUAGAAGAAAUGCAUAGGGCAAGGUAAGUGAGAAGGGAUAUGACACUUCCAUGUCCUCUCUAGAGGGUGCCACCCUCCCCAAAUCUCCACAUGUUUACUAACCAGGAAGCUGUCCCAAUCCAGUCCUUUGGGGUUUUUAUGGAGGCUUUGUCGUUUAGGUGUGAGUGAUUAAACCAUUGACCAUUGGUUAUUAAACUCAUUCUCCAGCUCCCCUCCUUUCCCCAGAGGUCAGGGGAUGGGACUUUUCUGAAGUUCCACUUCUUGUCCCUGGGUGUUUCCCCUGACAGCCCUGCUCCAUGGGCACUAUCCCAAAGUCACCUCAUUAAUAUAACAAAGGACAUCUGUGAUACUCUCCUUACUUAGGAAAUUCUGAGUUUUAAGAGCUCUGGGCCAAAAAGAACAAAUAUGUAUCUCAGUAGCAUUGCUUAAAAAAAAAAAUGGGGUGAGGGGUUUCUGUUGUGGCUCAGCAGAAAUGAAUCUGAUUAGUUUCCAUGAGGAUGAGGGUUUGAUCCCUGGCCUCUCUCAGUGGGUUAAAGAUCUGGCAUUGCUGUGAACUGUGGUGUAGGUCACAGACACGGCUCAGAUCCCAUGUUGCUCUGGCUGUGGUGUAGGCCAGCGGCUACAGCUCCGAUUUGAUCCCUAGCUUGGGAAC